rnacentral:rRNA from 1 species
AUGUUCAGGAGCCCUCUUUGGUCGACAUGCAUGAGGAGGAGGAAAUUGUCUCCCCACACAAGGAGGAUGCCUGAGCUGACCAGGAGGACACCCUCGUCCACCCCGGCCACCACACAAGGUCGUCCUUCUAUUUCUUUUGCUGUUUGUUCAUGUGCUACUUGUGUUUCAGUUCCAUUGCCUCCUAUUGCAAACACGUCUAUACAUUAG